GCUGGGCAUGGUGGCGCAUGCCCGUGAUCCCAACUACCCAGGAGGCUGAGGCAGGAGAAUCGCUUGAACCCAGGAGGCUGAGGUUGCAGUGAGCCGAGAUCACGCUACUGCACUCCAGCCUGGGUGACAGAGCAAGAUUCUGUCUCAA
ensembl:misc_RNA Metazoa_SRP Metazoan signal recognition particle RNA